rnacentral:rRNA from 1 species
UACGUAGGGCGCAAGCGUUGUCCGGAAUUAUUGGGCGUAAAGAGCUCGUAGGCGGCUUGUCACGUCGGAUGUGAAAGCCCGGGGCUUAACUCCGGGUCUGCAUUCGAUACGGGCUAGCUAGAGUGUGGUAGGGGAGAUCGGAAUUCCUGGUGUAGCGGUGAAAUGCGCAGAUAUCAGGAAGAACACCAAUGGCGAAGGCAGCUCUCUGGGACGGUACUGACGCUGAGACGCGAAAGCGUGGGGAGCGAACAGG